rnacentral:rRNA from 1 species
UUUACGGAGAGUUUGAUCCUGGCUCAGAACGAACGCUGGCGGCGUGGAUUAGGCAUGCAAGUCAAACGGGACUUUACGUUGUAGCAAUACUUUGUAAAGUCAAGUGGCGUAAGGGUGAGUAACACGUGGGUAAUGUACCCGAUAGUUUGGGAUAACGUUCCGAAAGGGACGCUAAUACCGGAUGUGAUGUUAAACCGCCGGGUUUAACAAGAAAGGUGGGGACCGCAAGGCCUGCCGCUAACGGAACGGCCCGCGACCUAUUAGCUAGUUGGUGGGGUAAAGGCCUACCAAGGCGAGGAUGGGUAGCCGAACUGAGAGGUUGACCGGCCACACUGGGACUGAGACACUGCCCAGACUUCUACGGAAGGCUGCAGUCGAGAAUCAUUCACAAUGGACGAAAGUCUGAUGAUGCGACGCCGCGUGCGCGAUGAAGGUCUUCGGAUUGUAAAGCGCUUUGAACAGGGAAGAAUGCCGCGUAUUUAAUAGAUAACGCGGAGGGACAGUACCUGACAAACAAGCCCCGGCUAAUUUCGUGCCAGCAGCCGCGGUAAUACGAAAGGGGCAAGCGUUGUUCGGAAUUAUUGGGCGUAAAGGGGGUCUAGGCGGACUGUUAAGUUACUUGUAAAAGCACGGAGCUCAACUCCGUGAAGCAGGUGAUACUGGCAGACUAGAGUACGUGAGAUGUGAACGGAAUAAUAGGUGUAGCGGUAAAAUGCGUAGAUAUCUAUUAGAACACCGGAGGCGAAGGCGGUUCACAUGCGCGCAACUGACGCUGAAGCCCGAAAGUGUGGGGAGCA